CGUCGAAUCUCGGUGCAUAAAGGGCUUGCAACCCACUCCGAGGCAGGACGUAUGGAACGGACGCCGUAUGGGGAUACCCAUACGCUCGAGCCGCGCGGCAUACUCGCGAGAGGUGCCAACGAGGGAGAAACUCCCAAGUCCAAGUCCUGGCGCGCGCAGAGGCGCUUCGAUGGUGCGGAACUCCUGGCAGCGCUCAAUAGACGCCCCGGUGGGGAACAACCUUGAAUCUAGGCGGGUCGCGCCGCACGACAGAAAGCAAGGAAUGCAAAUGGCGUUGUUCGUCUUGAUGCGGCGAAAGCCGCUAUAACGGGAGAAGCCGGCAAGAGUAGCCAUAUGACGGUGUCGACAAGAGUCGACAGGUUCGCGCAAUGGACUUUCUGAAGCUUGGUGAAAUCUGAGGGCAAACAAUCCCUCGUAGGACCAUGAAAGGGAUGCAUGUGGUGUGCUCCUUGGGCAAGAAGCUAAGGGUCGCUCCCAAACGCUCAGACUUGUCUACCUACUGACCGAAUGCGAAGAAGCCGAUGGCGGCGUAGGGCGAAGGCUCACGA
rnacentral:sRNA from 1 species